GACGAACGCUGGCGGCGUGCCUAAUACAUGCAAGUCGAGCGGAGGGGGGGGAGCUUGCUCCCAGACCGUCAGCGGCGGACGGGGGGGUAACACGUGGGCAACCUGCCUGUAAGAGUGGGAUAACUCCGGGAACCCUGGGUUAAUACCGGUAAACUCUUUUCCUCCAUUGAAGUUAAUCUGAAAGAUCACAUCUCGCUCUCACUUACAGCAGUGCCCGCGGCGCAUUAGCUAGUUGGGGAGGGAACGGCCCACCAAGGCGACGAUGGCUAACCGGCCCGGGGGGGGGAUGGGCCACACUGGAACGGAGACACGGCCAAGACUCCACCGGGAGGAAGAAGUAGGGAACCUUCCGCAAUGGACGAAAGUCUGACGGAGCAACGCCGCGUGAGUGAUGAAGGUUUUCGGAUCGUAAAACUCUGUUGUCAGGGAAGAACAAGUACCGGAGUAAAUGCCGGUACCUUGACGGUACCUGACCAGAAAGCCACGGCUAACUACGUG
rnacentral:rRNA from 1 species